UUCCAGUGAAAUGGACCAUUUUUAUGCGUACAUAGUUUAUUGACCCGGCUUAUGUAAAUACCUUCAUGGAAAUACCAUCCAUAUAAAAGGAUAAGAACUUGGCAAUUAUUUUCAGGCAUAGUUUGCACUUACAUACUCGACGAGAAGCCUGGUGAGCAAUAUUUUGGUUAAAGUUGAAAAUAAAAUAUCCGCGGUCCCUCGUGCAGGGGAGCUUACCAUGAAGCCACUCAGGUCAGAUGUGGCGGCAGGUUCGGGAGAUUGACCAACAAGAAAAAGAGAUAUUGCUGUAGGAAUCCAUAAAUGAAUAAUUUUGCAGGCAAGUCUAUCAAACUUAUGAUACAAACGCCGUAUCACCAGAAAGAAAUCAACUUUUUUUUUACUUACCAGCAAUUAUCAACAAUUAAGUCAAAAAAUAAUUUGUGAAACCUUAAAAUUUCGAUUUAUCACAAAUAUAUUAUCACUAGCGUAUAAGCCCGUCUCCCGCCGGGCUUAUUUGAUUUUCAUGAAAAUUAAGUACGAUUGUUCAAAAUUAAUUCCACCGAAUUAUUUUUUUAUUGUAUUUAUAUUAUUAGCUGGAAAUGUGCAUGUGUUAGCAAGGGAAAUGAAACUUUCUCCACUUUCACUUCCGUCACGGAAAAUUACUUUCACUUCCGUUGCAGACAAACAUUUCCAGCUUAUAAUAUAGAUA